rnacentral:rRNA from 1 species
CGGAUCCGCGGCCAGCGUGAUCUACAUGCCGCGUGAGUGAAGAAGGCCUUCGGGUUGUAAAGCUCUUUCAGUCGAGAAGAAAAGAUUACUGAUAAUACCCGUAAUCCAUGACGGUAUCGACAGAAGAAGCACCGGCUAACUACGUGCCAGCAGCCGCGGUAAUA